UCGUACCUCGCAGGGAUUUUCUGCCAGGUUUCGAGACAAACUUUCGUUGUCGAAUCUAUUAUAAGCAUCUCGCAUUCAAGUCAGCGCCAAAUCUCGAGCUUCUGUAGAAGAUCACCAAUCUUAGAGAUUUUGCUUCUGUUUCAAUUUGCCGGUGUUUUUUUCGUUGUUUCUGCAACAGUGUUCUGACCCAUUUUGUGUACAAAGGAGGAUCAGCUCCGUCGUUUGUUAAUUUAUUUGGUACAAAUCUCUCAAUUGCUGCUGAUACUAUUUCUUUGAAUUCAUGCAACAUCUGAUCUACACUUAUAUUACUUUGCAAGGAUUGGAGAUUGUCUCUCAGGAAGACGUUAAAUCGUGCAUUUAGAACAAUAUCGGAUGAUGUUUUAUGUGUACCACCGGAAAUAAACAUGCAUUUUUGUCAACAUAUCGAGGCAAUUGUAUCAUCUGAAUUGCGAGGUCAGUAAAAGGAUCCAAUUAUUAUUUUAUUCUGGUUGCCAACAAUGACCUCUGCCCAUACAAUUUCACAGGAACAAGAUAACAAAGUUUUCAGUUUGAAUCUGAUAUGUUGUAUGGUCUGAAGAAGAUCUAUCUAGGUUGGAACCAGACACCAUUAAUAGUACAUCAUCUGUUUUUGUGAUCAAGACUGUUUAUUUUGUCACAAUUUAAUUUAGAUCACUGUUGUUCUAUAUACACUAUCAAAACCUGAACUUCAUAUUUCAAUAACAACUCA